ensembl:lncRNA
AUGAUGAACCCACUCCUUAGUGCAUCUGUAUGCAUAAUGAUAUUUACAGCUGCCUGUCUUGGUAAAACUGUUCAACAGACGCCUGACAAACUCAUCAAGAAUCAAGAUGAAUCUGCUGUGAUCAUGUGCUCUCACAAGAUACAAAGCUAUUACAUAAUAUUAUGGUACAAACAAAGUCCAGACAUGUUGGGCUUAAAGUUGAUGGGAUAUCUUAAUAUUGAUGCUAAGAAUAAAGAGCCUGAAUUUGAAAACAAGAUCGAAUUGGAGGGAAAUGGGAGAAAUGAUGGCACUCUGAUUAUCAGCAACCUCACACUGACUGACAGUGCAGUGUAUUUCUGUGCAGCAUAUUACACAGUGCUCAGAAUUCUCUCUGUCUGAUACAAAAACCUCUUUUAACCGACUUGCUUCUGUGAAAGGCAUAUUUAUUUCUCUCCACACCUGUGAGUUUUGAUUCAAUGCCAACACUGAACUCAAUAGGUCUAACAAAUAUAGCAAAAAAACAAAAACAAAACAUAUUUAAUCUAAAAUAAUUCUGUAAUUUUGUAAAAUGAAUAACUGUUUUGUUGCACUAAUAAUUCCGCCAUUGUGUGUCUGUGUCAAAUUUCCUCUUCCUGUCCUUCCCACUUAAAUUUCACUUUAACAUUCUGUCACUUGUAGGCAGUUUUUGAAUUAUACAUUUUGCUCAUGCAUGAUCAUGACACAUCUUGUACUGCCAACUAACAUUUUUAUCAUCACAGAUCAUGUUUUAACCCAUCCAGCCUCAAUGUGUCAGCAUCCAGCUGACAUGAUGAGGAGCAAUAUUCUGUUCAUCCUGUUGCUACAUUGUGAAACACAGUGAAGGUAUUCAAAUGCAAUCUCCAUGAAAGACAUUAUAGAAUAAACGAUAAUAGAAACCAAAAGUUCAAAUUACUACUUAAAUAUUUAAGUUUUCUUCUCUGUAUUUAAAUUUGCAGGUAACAGUGAUGUUUCACAAGUUCCAAGUGUUUUAAUGGCAGUAAAAGGGAGUUCUGUUCAACUGAACUGCACACACAAAAAGGAUUCUUGUUUGUCCAGAUGUACUGGUAUCGACAGCGUCCAGGACAAACUAUGACUCUAAUCGUGAUCACAAGCAUGUACACCAAACCAGAAUAUGGUGAUUUUGAUCCAAACAAAUUUUUUCCAGAUCUCUGACUGUGAACAAUCUGUUCUGUUCAUAUGAACUGCACACACAAUAAGGGCUCAACAUACAGACUGAUGUACUGGUACAGACAGCGGCAAGGACAAACUAUGAGACUCAUAGCAUUCACAACCUCUUACACCGAACCAGAAUAUGAAGAUUCUGAGCUGAAUAAAUUUGUGGCCAAUAAAACGGUUGCUGAGAAUGGAUCUCUGACUGUUAACAAUUUGCAGCCGAAUGAUAGUGCCACAUAUUUCUGUUCAGUGAGUGAAUACACAGUGUAUCAAACUCAGGGGAGAGCUGUACAAAAAACAGGUGUCUUAAAAUUAGAAGUAAUCAUUAAUCAAGAGGGGGCAGUGUGAUUCAAGAAAUUUUCAGCCUACCUACAAUGCAAAACAAUUAAAAUAAAAAAUAAAAAAAUUGCUGAUUGCAUAAGAGAUUAUAAUAAAUGACAAUGAUUCAAUAUCACUGUCCACCUUCUGUAAAUCAAACACAUGCACAGUCUGAGUUGCAUAUUAGUUCUGACAUUUAUACACAACUCAUGUGCAGUUUAAAUCUUCUUUUCCCCAUUUUAUCCAUUUUUUUUCUCCCAGGUUUUACCAGUUAGGACCCAGUAUAGCUGACAUCACUUCCUCCUGCUGGUGUGUUUAAUUCAAAGCAGAAGCACUUGAUGAAAGAAACUAUGACAAACAUGUUCAACAUGUUCACAGUAUCUGUGUUACUAAUGAUGUUUACAGGUAUUAAACAAAUAUACACUAACUAACAUCGUACAGAUUGUUUUAUUCUAAAUGUUAUGCACAACUGCCUUUUCCUUUUCUUCCACAGCUGUCUGUCUCGUUAAAACUGUUCUCCAGACACCUGAUGACCUCUUGAAGAAUCAAGAUGAAUCUGCUGUGAUCACUUGUUCUCAAAAUAUACAGAGCUAUGACCAAAUAUUAUGGUACAAACGUGUUAUGCUUCAAUACACACUCACACACACAAACACACACACACACACACACACACACACACACACACACACACACACACACACAUAUAUAUAUAUUAUAAACUAAUUAGAUAUGUUUUACUGAAUCCAUCUCCCUCCAGUGUGAUCUUGUUUAAAUAUUCAGGCUCACUGGUUUCAACCUUACAAUAAAGGAUUCUGCAUAUAAGGUUAUAAACACACAUAUUUAGUCAAAAUACAAUUAUGUUCAUUAUGUUUUGUUGCAAAACUUGCAUUAUGAACAGCAUUAUUACAUUAUGGCCAAUAUAUUCAAAUAGUCUCCAUAAAAAGCAAACAAAAAACAAACAAACAAAAAGAAAACUUGAAAUUGUUUUAUUUUUAUGUGCCUGACUCCCUGUCAAUAUUUCAGUUUGAGUUAUCAGUGAUAUUUCAUAAAUUCCAAGUGUUUUAAAGGCAGUAAAGGAGGAGUUCUGUUCAAAUGAACUGCACACACACACACACACACACACACACACACACACACACACACACACACACACACACACAAUUACUAAGUUACAAAUUAUGACAGUUUUGUUUACUACCAAUUUCAAAUGUGCAAAGUGUAAACUCAAUCUUCUGCACAUAGAAAGAGCUUGUUCUACUGCAAAACUACACAUCAAACACUUUAGUUUGAGUGUAGAAUGUAUGAUCAACCUUUAGAACUGAUCUUUCACUGUCCGUGUACCCUACAGAUGACAUCACUUCCUCUUGUGCCUGUAAUUCAUCAUAGCAGAAGCACUCACUUUAUUACAAAGAGCUGACACGAUGAACACUUUCCUUAUCAGAUCUGCAUGUCUGUUGUGGCUAACAGGUAAUAGUAAAAAAUAUGUUUUGCAAGUGAUGAUUAACAAAAAUGUUACUUCCAUGUUAUAAUGAUCAUUUUAUUUCAGACAUUACCUAAUCAAUACAAUGUUAUGUUUCUUUAUGGACAGUGGCAAACCAUGCAAAAACUGUUCUCCAGAGACCUGAUGACCUCAUAAAGAACCAAAAUGAAUCGGCUGUUAUCGGCUGUUCUCACAGUAUACAGAACUACAACCAAAUGCUGUGGUACAAACAGAGUCAGAACAUGCCUGGACUCAAGUUGAUGGGAUACCUUUAUGUUGGUGAAAAUAUAGAGCCUGAAUUUAAAGACAAGAUCAAAUUGGAGGGAAAUGCAAAGAGAAAUGGCACUCUGACUAUCAACAACCUCACACCACAAGACAGCGCAGUGUAUUUCUGUGCAGCAUGUUACACAGUGAUAUAGAUAAUAAAACCUUAAUACAAAAAGCUCUCUAGUCUGUGCCUCUGCAUCAGCUCUGCCUCACCUGCGAAGGGCUCAGGGUUUGAUUUGCUGCCAACAUUGAGGUGAGAUCACGUUUCCUUGUAUAGUCCUUGUUAAAUGACAGUGUGAUUUUAUAGAUACAUGUACAGUACAGCAGUUUCUAAAAGUGUUUGAAGAAUCCCAUGAGAACAGAACAAUCCCACCAUAUUUUGACUUCAUACAGUCAAGUUUUAUUCUGAGCAUCUCAGAACAGUAGAGGGAGCCGUUUCUCUGGUAAUGCUAAAUCCAAACAGCACUGCAAUUUCUAUAACUCAUUAAUUUAUUGUCAGUGCCCCCAGAAAUGCAUUUAAUUCACAGCACUGUUACUAAAAGGAAAUAUGACUAGCAUUAUUACAAGUGUUUUUGUUUCAGAAACUGGUUUUCACAAAUACAAAGUGUUUUAUAAAAUGAUAAACUUCACAUUUCAGCCUUUACACCAUUUUUAAGAAAAGGGAGGAGUCAAAAGGAUCAAUUAUUAUAUUAAUUUAAACAAUUAUUAUCAAACAAUUAUAUUAAUUUAGUAACAUUUAAAUAUAUCUUAGUGUCUCAAUUGUUUAGAUUUUUAUAAUGCAUUAACUUUUUGUUCACGCUGCAUGUUUUUUGCAUAAAAAUAUUGGUUGAUUUUCACAUUGGUUUUAACAAAAACAGCAGACGGGCUGAUUAAAAAUGAAGAUUCAAGAUUUUUUUCAAGAUGUUUUCAAGGAAUAUCAUGUUUGUCCAUAUUUUAACUUUGUCAAAAAUAAAAGGAGUUGUAAAUUUUCAUUCAACAAAUGGAGCUGUUUGGAGCAGAGUUUAAUGAAUGAUGAUGAAUCAUUAUCACUGUCCACUUUCUGAAAAUCAAAAGCAUGCACAGCGUGAGUUGCUCAUCAGUUCUGCUAUUUAUACACAACUCAUGUGCAGUUUGAAUCUUAUUCUCCCCAUUUUAUUCCUCUUUUCUCCCAGGUUUUAC